CUCAGCUACUCGGGAGACUGAGGCACAAGAAUUGCUUGAACCCAGGAGGCAGAGAUUGCAGUGAGACUCUGUCUCAAAAAAAUAAUAAUAAUAAGUUAAUUAAUGUAUAGACAGUUUUUUCAUUCUAGAUAUAGAAUGUCGCUUAUUCUAAAAGAAUUGAGAUAUAUAUGUGUGUGUGUGUGUGUUUUGGUAAAGAAAAAUGCACAUGUAUUUUUUUAUUAUGUUCUACUGUAAGACAGCAAAAAAAUAAAUGGAUGACUCAUGGAACUUUUUAAGAAGUCUCCUAUUCCAGUAGCACAGUGCCCAGGAGAGGUGGUGAGCUGUUGACACGGGCUGUUCAUUGGACUCUGUGUGACCACUGAUGAGGCUCACGCUCAGCAUUUCUCUUCUUGCCUUGAAGCUUCCCUGCUAAGGGAAGACUUCUUGUGGGUUCAGAAUGACUGCCAGUGCUUCUUGGAUAGCACUUCUGUAGACCCCCACAAUAUACUUCAGCAGCUCCUCCUCUGAUGAAGAGUGGAUUCUUGUAUCUCUGUAGCUGAAGGAGUAUUCUGCAGAAUUCAUUCCCUCAUUCAUAGGUAUUCAAGUGUUUGCAUUUGUCACACAUCAUUGUAACCAGAAACUAGCCCUUUGUGAGGAACAUUGGCCAGAACCCCUCUAGCAAUUUGAUUCUACCAUCUGAUUCUGAUUCUGAUCCAUGUCCUGUUCUCAUCUUAACCACUCUUGGACCAGCUUCCUGGGGAACUAGGAGUGGAAGCAAAAAAUUCCAUGUGAGAAAGGAAAAUGAGGUCUGGGCAAGAAAGAGAAGGAGAUUGUGAAGAAAGGAAAUUCAGUUUCACCUUUGCCCACCAGCUCGACAGCAUGAAGUAGGUGUUAACGUUUUCGUCUCCAAACUGCUCGGCCACGUAGAGUCCCAGCGAUCCGUACUUGUCGUAUAUGCUUCUCUUUGAAAUGUCGGGUGGCUUCCUGUCAUUUUUUAAACAGCUUGGAUCUCUGUCAGCUCACAAGGGCAGAUGCACCCAAUCCAUUUAUCACACUCCUAACAAUGGAGUUGGCAAAUUCGGAGAGCUGGAACACCUCCACUUGUAACACAUCCAAUUCCUGGUCAUCAGCAACAUUUUGAUUCCUCUUGGCAGAUACUCUUGGCUCUGAGGAAUCCUCGGGAAGUAUGGUGAGCAGAGACAGCUGCCAAAAUUCCACAACCGUCAAGGAGGUGGUCGUGCAAUGCCUCACCCUCUUGCAUGUUGUCCAUAGAGCAAGGAAACAACUAUAGAAUGUAGAGUUUAAGGAAGUGCUUGGAGUAUUUUUAAAUAGAAUAGGCACCUAUCCAUUGUUAAAGGCAUUUGUUGUCAUUUCUACAUUGAUACUUAAAGUGACAUAAUAUUCAACCAGAAUGUGAGCCUUUAAUUCUAAAUGUCUCUACACUCUUGGUCACCUGUCAAUGUGGCUAUAGCUAAUAUUAGAAAUAGCAUUCAAUGCCUCUAAUUUCCACUUCAAAAUCUAAUGACAGCUUUCAACUAAAAUGCAUAGUGAAUUUAAUUAGUGGCAGAUAAGAUAAACAUGUGGUUUAUAGUUAUAAUUAUCUAAAGCCCUCAAGAUCUUCCUAUUUUGAGGCAGUGACAUAAUUCUAAGAGUUACAAUGUUUUGCUCCAUUCUCUUCCUUGCCCCAUCCAACACUUCAAGAUGCAAUCAAACUACUGCUACCUACCACUCUCUACCAGUCUCUGAGUCACCUGAGGCCUGAUUCUAACCAUGCUGCCCCAGCUCUUAAAAUAUUUUAAUGUCUGUCAAUCUCGUGGUUUAUAUGAGGCUGUUAUAUAUACCGUUUGGAUAUUCUCUAAGUGCAUGUUAGUCCUUUACAAAUUUUUACUUUGGUUUUUAAAAUUAAUUUGUAGUAUUUUAAAAAUGCAUAUUCUAGAUAUGAAUUCUUUGUCAGUUAUAUGUAUUGCAUAUAUCUUCUCCCAUUCUGGGGCUUUCUUGUUGUUUUACUUUAUGGUAUCUCUUGGUAAUCACAAAUUCUUUCUUUUAAUUUACUGAAUUAACCAAUUUGUUCCUCAAUUCAGGAAGAUAUUGUUCUAUAAACUCUCUAUAACUCUAAAAUCUUUAUAGCUUUUCCUUUCAUAUGGAAGUCUAUGGCCCAUUGAUACCUGACAUUUUAAUGUGCUGGAGGGUAGAUGUCUAAUCUCACUUACUUUAAAUAGAUAUUCCACUCUUGUAGCACCAUUUAUUAGGAAAAGAAAAUCCUUUCCCUGGAUUUCUGGGAUCUCUAUUCUGCUCCAUUGGUCAAUUUGGUUAUUUCUGGGCCAAUAACAGUCUAACAUGUGAUGCUUUAAAAUACGUCUUCAUAUCUUAAAGAGCAAAUUCUGCCAUAUUGCUGUUCUUCAAGAGUUCUGUGGUUAUUCUGGGUCCUGUACAUUUCCACAUGAAUUUUAGAAUUAGCUUGUCAAUUUACACACACACACAUACACACACACACACACACACACAUGAACACAUGCACAUUCACACAACCUAUUGAGAUUUUUAUUGCAAUUGCAUUGACUCUAUAGAUUAAUUUGGAGAUUGACUUUUGUAUAGUAUGUCGACCUAUUUCAAUCUUUUUAACGAAUUUUAAAGUUUUAUCAUUUUUACCUUUAUGUUCUAUGUAUAUUUUCUUGGAUUUAGUCCUGGGAGCUUAAUUUUUUGUGGUUUUGACAUUUAAAAAUGUUCCUAAUUAUUUAUUGCAGAUAAAAAUAAUUUUUUUCUAUUUUUAUGUUUGAAAUAAUUGUUGUAUGUUGAUUUUUUUAUUCUUCCAACUUCCCAAGCUCAUGUCCAAAUUUUAUUAAAUUAUAAAUUCUUUUAAAUUUUCUACAUAGACAAUUAUAUAAGCUCAAGUGAUAAUUGGAUUUUUUCCCUUCGAAUCCUUAUAUCAUUUACAUUUCUUCCCUUAUUGUACUGCCUUGGCUAAGACCCCCCACCCCAAGUACGAUGUCAAAAGUGGCUGUAACAGGUGUCCUUCUUCUGAAUUCACUAUGAGUGAAUGGAUGCUGAAUUUUACCAAAUGUUAUUUCUGCACCUAUAGAGGAGAUAUCUUGUUUCUCUUUUGGCCUGUUAAUGUGAUUGAUUGAGUUUUUAAAUGUUAGAUGAAGCUUAUGUUUCUGGGAUAAACUCAGUUUGGUCAUUAUGUAUUUUUAAAAUUUAUUGCUGGGCUUGGUUUUCUAAUAUGUGCAUUAAACUCUAUAAAUUUUCCUCUAAGUGCUAUUUUGACUGCAUUUCACAUCUUAAUAUGUAGCACUGAAUUAUAGAUAUUUUAUAAUUUUAAUUAUGGUUUGUUAUUUUUAGCCACUAGUUGUUUUAAAUUA
rnacentral:lncRNA from 1 species